AUACAUAGGGGGCAAGCGUUAUCCGGAAUUAUUGGGCGUAAAGGGUGCGUAGGUGGCUAUUUAAGUCUUUGGUGUAAGUGCAGUGCUCAACACUGUGAUGCUAAAGAAACUGGAUGGCUUGAGUGCGGUAGAGGCAAGUGGAAUUCCAUGUGUAGCGGUAAAAUGCGUAAAUAUAUGGAGGAACACCAGUGGCGAAGGCGGCUUGCUGGGCCAUAACUGACACUGAGGCACGAAAGCGUGGGGAGCAAACAGGAUUAGAUACCCUGGUAGUCCACGCCGUAAACGAUGAGUACUAAGUGUAGGAGAAAUUCUGUGCUGUAGUUAACGCAAUAAGUACUCCGCCUGAGUAGUACGUACGCAAGUAUGAA
rnacentral:rRNA from 1 species